GCGGCCGGAUGGGGGGUGGCCCGGGGGGCUAUAGCGCACGUCCUCGGGGGCCGCAAAGAAGGGGCCGUAACUCAUGAUCCGAGCCUCCGAUUCCGUUUCCGUCGGGUCCCGCGGGACCAGGGUUCCGGGGGCAUCGGGAUGGGGGGGUAGCCGCGCGGCGGUUUGAACGCCGAAAAAUGGGCGUGUUCGGGGUGCGCUCAGUAGGUUUAGACGGUUUUGGGCGUAUCACAUGAUCCGGGCAUCCGAUUCCGUUUCCGUCAGGUCCCACGGGACCAAGGGUCCGGGGGCAUCGGGAUGGGGGGGUAGCCGCGCGGCGGUUUGAACGCCGAAAAACGGGCAUGAUCGGGGCGGUUUUGCCGGUUUGGCCGGUUUCGGCCCGCCGGGGGGCGGUUCAUGCCCCGGGGGGGACCGCGGGGCGGGAUCGGGAGGCGGCGGCCAGUGUGCGGGAAAGUUUCGGCCGGGUGCGACCGGAUGGGGGGUGGCCCGGGGGGCUAUAGCGCACGUCCUCGGGGGCCGCAAAGAAGGGGCCGUAACUCAUGAUCCGGGCCUCCGAUUCCGUUUCCGUCGGGUCCCGCGGGACCAGGGUUCCGGGGGCAUCGGGAUGGGGGGGUAGCCGCGCGGCGGUUUGAACGCCGAAAAAUGGGCAUGUUCGGGGUGCGCUCAGUAGGUUUAGACGGUUUUGGGCGUAUCUCAUGAUCCGGGCAUCCGAUUCCGUUUCCGUCAGGUCCCACGGGACCAGGGGUCCGGGGGCAUCGGGAUGGGGGGGUAGCCGCGCGGCGGUUUGAACGCCGAAAAACGGGCAUGAUCGGGGCGGUUUUGCCGGUUUGGCCGGUUUCGGCCCGCCGGGGGGCGGUUCAUGCCCCGGGGGGGACCGCGGGGCGGGAUCGGGAGGCGGCGGACGCGUUCGGUGGGGUUCGGGCGGGUGCGGCCGGAUGGGGGGUGGCCCGGGGGGCUAUAGCGCACGUCCUCGGGGGCCGCAAAGAAGGGGCCGUAACUCAUGAUCCGAGCCUCCGAUUCCGUUUCCGUCGGGUCCCGCGGGACCAGGGUUCCGGGGGCAUCGGGAUGGGUGGGUAGCCGCGCGGCGGUUUGAACGCCGAAAAAUGGGCAUGUUCGGGGUGCGCUCAGUAGGUUUAGACGGUUUUGGGCGUAUCUCAUGAUCCGGGCAUCCGAUUCCGUUUCCGUCAGGUCCCACGGGACCAGGGGUCCGGGGGCAUCGGGAUGGGGGGGUAGCCGCGCGGCGGUUUGAACGCCGAAAAACGGGCAUGAUCGGGGCGGUUUUGCCGGUUUGGCCGGUUUCGGCCCGCCGGGGGGCGGUUCAUGCCCCGGGGGGGACCGCGGGGCGGGAUCGGGAGGCGGCGGACGCGUUCGGUGGGGUUCGGGCGGGUGCGGCCGGAUGGGGGGUGGCCCGGGGGGCUAUAGCGCACGUCCUCGGGGGCCGCAAAGAAGGGGCCGUAACUCAUGAUCCGGGCCUCCGAUUCCGUUUCCGUCGGGUCCCGCGGGACCAGGGUUCCGGGGGCAUCGGGAUGGGGGGGUAGCCGCGCGGCGGUUUGAACGCCGAAAAAUGGGCAUGUUCGGGGUGCGCUCAGUAGGUUUUGACGGUUUUGGGCGUAUCUCAUGAUCCGGGCAUCCGAUUCCGUUUCCGUCAGGUCCCACGGGACCAGGGGUCCGGGGGCAUCGGGAUGGGGGGGUAGCCGCGCGGCGGUUUGAACGCCGAAAAACGGGCAUGAUCGGGGCGGUUUUGCCGGUUUGGCCGGUUUCGGCCCGCCGGGGGGCGGUUCAUGCCCCGGGGGGGACCGCGGGGCGGGAUCGGGAGGCGGCGGACGCGUUCGGUGGGGUUCGGGCGGGUGCGGCCGGAUGGGGGGUGGCCCGGGGGGCUAUAGCGCACGUCCUCGGGGGCCGCAAAGAAGGGGCCGUAACUCAUGAUCCGGGCCUCCGAUUCCGUUUCCGUCGGGUCCCGCGGGACCAGGGUUCCGGGGGCAUCGGGAUGGGGGGGUAGCCGCGCGGCGGUUUGAACGCCGAAAAAUGGGCAUGUUCGGGGUGCGCUCAGUAGGUUUAGACGGUUUUGGGCGUAUCUCAUGAUCCGGGCAUCCGAUUCCGUUUCCGUCAGGUCCCACGGGACCAGGGGUCCGGGGGCAUCGGGAUGGGGGGGUAGCCGCGCGGCGGUUUGAACGCCGAAAAACGGGCAUGAUCGGGGCGGUUUUGCCGGUUUGGCCGGUUUCGGCCCGCCGGCGGGCGGUUCAUGCCCCGGGGGGGACCGCGGGGCGGGAUCGGGAGGCGGCGGACGCGUUCGGUGGGGUUCGGGCGGGUGCGGCCGGAUGGGGGUCGGCCCGGGGGGCUAUAGCGCACGUCCUAGAGGGCCGCAAAGAAGGGGCCGUAACUCAUGAUCCGGGCCUCCGAUUCCGUUUCCGUCGGGUCCCGCGGGACCAGGGUUCCGGGGGCAUCGGGAUGGGGGGGUAGCCGCGCGGCGGUUUGAACGCCGAAAAAUGGGCGUGUUCGGGGUGCGCUCAGUAGGUUUAGACGGUUUUGGGCGUAUCACAUGAUCCGGGCAUCCGAUUCCGUUUCCGUCAGGUCCCACGGGACCAAGGGUCCGGGGGCAUCGGGAUGGGGGGGUAGCCGCGCGGCGGUUUGAACGUCGAAAAACGGGCAUGAUCGGGGCGGUUUUGCCGGUUUGGCCGGUUUCGGCCCGCCGGGGGGCGGUUGAUGCCCCGGGGGGGACCGCGGGGCGGGAUCGGGAGGCGGCGGACGCGUUCGGUGGGGUUCGGGCGGGUGCGGCCGGAUGGGGGGUGGCCCGGGGGGCUAUAGCGCACGUCCUCGGGGGCCGCAAAGAAGGGGCCGUAACUCAUGAUCCGGGCCUCCGAUUCCGUUUCCGUCGUGUCCCGCGGCACCAGGGUUCCGGGGGCAUCGGGAUGGGGGGGUAGCCGCGCGGCGGUUUGAACGCCGAAAAAUGGGCGUGUUCGGGGUGCGCUCAGUAGGUUUAGACGGUUUUGGGCGUAUCUCAUGAUCCGGGCAUCCGAUUCCGUUUCCGUCAGGUCCCACGGGACCAGGGG
rnacentral:lncRNA from 1 species